GAAAUGCGAUAAGUAGUGUAAAUUAUAGAAUUUAGUAAAUUAUCAAAUCUUUAAACGCAUAUUGCGCCCCUUAGUAUUCUGUAGGGCAUGCCUAUUCAAGCGUUAUCUACACUCUUAAGCUCUACUUAGUGUUGGGCGUCUGUCCCGCCUUCGCGCGUAGACUCGCCCUAAAUGCAUUAGUAGCAGUCCUUGCCCCCUCCCGCGCAGCACAUUGCGCUUCUUAAGGCUACGGCGGCCCGCGUCUAACAAGCUGAACCCCCCCGUCUUUAGCCUUAGAUUAGUUAGAGAUACCCGCUGAACUUAAGC
rnacentral:misc_RNA from 1 species